rnacentral:rRNA from 1 species
GACGAACGCUGGCGGCGUGCCUAAUACAUGCAAGUAGAACGCUGAAGGAGGAGCUUGCUCUUCUGGAUGAGUUGCGAACGGGUGAGUAACGCGUAGGUAACCUGCCUGGUAGUGGGGGAUAACUAUUGGAAACGAUAGCUAAUACCGCAUAAUAACAGUUGUUGCAUGACAACUGUUUGAAAGGUGCAAUUGCAUCACUACCAGAUGGACCUGCGUUGUAUUAGCUAGUUGGUGGGGUAACGGCUCACCAAGGCGACGAUACAUAGCCGACCUGAGAGGGUGAUCGGCCACACUGGGACUGAGACACGGCCCAGACUCCUACGGGAGGCAGCAGUAGGGAAUCUUCGGCAAUGGACGAAAGUCUGACCGAGCAACGCCGCGGGAGUGAAGAAGGUUUUCGGAUCGUAAAGCUCGGUUGUAAGAGAAGAACGAGUGUGAGAGUGGAAAGUUCACACUGUGACGGUAUCUUACCAGAAAGGGACGGCUAACUACGUG